CAAAAGAAUACAUUUAUAAUAAGUUGAUACAGCACCAGAUAAUGGUAAUGACCACCCACCUCCCUUGAUGUAUUAUCUAUAAUUUGCCUCUGAUUUCUCUCUCUGCAGUAACCGCCUCUUCCUCUUUAGAUAUGGAAUCAGCAAUGAACCUUCCAUAAACCAAACUGAGGUAGAUACAAAUUUUUCAAGCACAAGACUUGACAGUGCUAUCUGCGCUUAUACCGUGAUUUGCUCUUAAAUGAAUUCUUGGACUUUUUGCUUCCCAUUCCACCACUGCUUUUCUUCCGCUUUUUCUCGGUCAUGUCACUUUGGAAUAGUUCCCGCAUCUCUUCAGUCCUUGAUUGAGUUCUUUCAGGAGGACGCUUCGAUUUUUUCUUCCCUGCCUUUUGCACAAUCUUGCCUGCAUCUAGUGCCCUCUUCACAGCCUUCACUGCUUUCGCCCGUCGGUAACCCAGGUCAACCAGUGACAUCCCAGUCUUCUCUUUCUUAUUUAUUCCAUUACCUUCUGAUUUCUCAAUAUGAUCUUCAUCCUCCAACAUCUCUCUGGCUGCUUGUAAUUUUCGACGCUUCUUCCGGGGCAAUUUUUUCUCACGCUCACGCUUCCUCUUUUCCUUCAAUUUAAGAUCUUCAGCCUGUUGGGCACUCAUAACCUCAUUCCCAGAACCUUUUUCUUUCUCUUUUGAUGCCUUUGCUGCUUUUGCUGCAAGCUUCUUCUCUUUCUCUGUUACAAACCAUGUCCUUUUGGGGCGUGCAAAAAUUUCAUCCUUGUGCGUAAUCAUAUUCUCUGCCUUUGUUGCUUCCAUUUCAGCUUUUCUUAAAGCUCUCUCUUCCCUCUCUUCUUGAAGAAUGGCAGCCACUUGAUCUUCCAUUUGAUCAAUUAUCUGAGACCACUUAGCAAUUGAUUGCUCUGCAACAAUACGGCUCUUCAACUUUGAACCAGCUCUUUUUGCAAUGGCUUUUAAAAGAGAACGAUCAUUAUCUGACACAAAUGUUACAGCAUAACCUUCUCUACCAGCUCUUGCCGUACGACCGACCCUAUGAACGUAGCUUGUCAGAUCACGAGGACAUGCAUAAUUAAUAACUGUUUGAACACCAAUAAUGUCAAGUCCACGAGCAGCUACAUCAGUAGCAAUCAAAAAAUCGACUUGCUGCUUCCUGAAAAGUUCCAAAGCAUCAAGACGCUGGACUUGUGUAAGAUUUCCAUGGAGCUCAGCAGCUUUAAAGCCAGCUAAUCCAAACAAAAUCUUCAACCUAUGUGCAGCUUGCUUAGUACCACUGAAGAUUAUCACUUUAGAUGUAAAAGUUUUUGAACACAAGGCAAGAAGAACAGCCUCCUGAUUCACCUCACGCAUUCUGCGGACCCUGACCACCUCUUCAGUCAAUGUAGCUGGUCGUUUUGCAGAUGGGUCAGCUGAGAGACGCAGUGGUCUAGUCAGAGAAAGUUUGAUAAGCUCAUUAAUUUCUUCAGUCAUUGUAGCUGAGAAGAGCAUGGUCUGCCUCCUUUUGGGACAUAACUUAACCAGUUCAUGAAUUUCAGCACUAAAUCCAAGUUCCAGAAGGCGAUCUGCUUCAUCAAGGAUUAAAACUGCAAGAUCAUCCAAAUCCACAGACAUAGAAUUGCGUAAAUG
rnacentral:misc_RNA from 1 species